rnacentral:rRNA from 1 species
GAUGAACGCUAGCGGCAGGCCUAAUACAUGCAAGUCGAACGAUAGUAUUAAGCUUGCUUAAAUAUGAAAGUGGCGCACGGGUGCGUAACGCGUAUGAAACCUACCUUAAUCAGGGGGAUAGCCUUUCGAAAGAAAGAUUAAUACCGCAUAAUAUCACGAUGGGGCAUCCUGUUGUGAUCAAAUAUUUAUAGGAUUAAGAUGGUCAUGCGUGACAUUAGCUAGUUGGAGAGGUAAUGGCUCACCAAGGCGACGAUGUCUAGGGGAUCUGAGAGGAUGGCCCCCCACACUGGUACUGAGACACGGACCAGACUCCUACGGGAGGCAGCAGUAAGGAAUAUUGGUCAAUGGGCGGAAGCCUGAACCAGCCAUGCCGCGUGCAGGAAGACGGCCCUACGGGUUGUAAACUGCUUUUAUUCGGGAAUAAUCUUUCUACGUGUAGGGAGUUGAAUGUACUGAAAGAAUAAGGAUCGGCUAACUCCGUGCCAGC